GCCCAACGAGUUGCUCGCCUCGCUGCCCUUCCCCCACCGCCCGGCCGCAGCCCCUGCCGGCCGCCCAGGUCUCGUCCCGCCUCACGGCCGGCGCUCCCCGGCCCGGGCCGCUCCGCACGCCUCGCCGCCUGCUGGGCUACUGAUGCCCUCCAUCCACACAAAGACGCGUGCGCCCGGGCGGGGAGCGCAGGGGCUGGCACGCACCACCGGCGGGCCUUCUGUCUGCACCCCCUCUCCCGGCCGCCGCCGGCGCACUCCCACGGCCCCCACUCCCUCGUCUCUCGUCUGAGCCGCCAUUUGCUCCUCGCCUCCCCGACUCAGCUACCGGUAAUCUCAGAUCUACUUUCCGUCUCUUCGGUAUUGGGGAAAUACCUUUUCUAUUGCAAAGAUCACAGCCAGAGGUUGAACUCUAGGCAAGAGGAGCAUGGGAAUAUGGAGACAUGAACUGAUUCAAGGAAUCUGGCCUGGGGAAGGCCUCAUGCACAGAUUCUGAGCAGACAGGGUCUUGUCUUAAAGAGCCUUGGACCAAAUUUACUACCAGCCUUAUCCCGACCCCCAUUUCCCCAGCUUCAAAGGGAAUAUAGGUGACCACAGACUCCGAAGUCUUGCAGGUUGGUGCAGACUUUUGAGAACCUGUCGUACAUCUCUCACCCUUGUUCCAAUGGGUACUAUUUGCUAACACUAGAACUCAUACUGUCCCACAUUUGAUCUUUCCUUCCUCAACCACCAACUUCUACUUCCUUCUACUACUGUCUUCAGAAUGCCAAUAUUUUUGUGUCCCAGUUUCAUCUUGGGCACCAAGGAGUAGGAUGAACUUUAUAGUUCUGAAAUUCUAGGUUCAGAAAAUAGUGCUGUGGAGCACAAGGUGGGUGGGUUUCACUGUCACUCAUGCCUGCACCUGUGAACAGGGAACCUCCUGAGGAAACACAUAUGGUCUCAUCAUAUUCCACAGUCACCCAGACACAUCUCUCAAGGCCUGACUUCCUUUCCUCCCCACGCCCCACCCUCUGGGCAGAAGUAGCUGAGAAGGUGCUUCUCCAGCUCUUUCCUCUUCCCUGCUUAGCUCUAUUAUAGUUCACUAGGCCAACACUUUUCUUAGAACCAAAGUGUUUCUAUUUAGGGGUCUGGGGAGCAAUUCCAUUUCCCUCUAUCAUCUCACCUGGAU
rnacentral:lncRNA from 1 species